CGCACCGUGGUCUAAUGGGCUACGACACCAGUAUUCUCUGAACUAAAAAGGCUGGCUGGAGGCUGCGAGUUCGAAUCUUGCCGGUGUGA